AUGGUCUGGGAAAGGCUCCUAUGUGAUUGAAUCUGCCUAAGGUAGGUGCAUCCGCAUAUCUGACAGUUUAACCUUGACCUAAAGUAAAUUCCCAUAGGAUAAUUUCCUAGGCUUAGAAUUUGCAGUUACAGGUGUGAAGAUUCUAACAGCAAUUGGAUGUUUGUUGAUGAUGCAUAUAUUG
ensembl:scaRNA